AUUGAACGCUGGCGGCAGGCCUAACACAUGCAAGUCGAGCGGAGCGGCGGACGGGUGAGUAAUGACUAGGAAUCGGCCAGGUAGUGGGGGAUAACGUCCGGAAACGGGAGCUAAUACCGAAUACUAUCAGAAGAGCCUAGGGCGGAUUAGCUAGCGGGUGGGGUAAAGGCCUACCAAGUCGACGAUCCGUAACUGGUCUGAGAGGAUGAUCAGUCACACUUGAACUGGUACACGGUCCCGACUCCUACGGGUGGCAGCCGUGGUGAAUAUUGGACAAUGGGCGAAAGCCUGAUCCAGCCAUGCCGGGUUUGUGAAGAAGGUCUUCGGAUUGUAAAGCACUUUCAGUUGGGAGGCGUUACCAACAGAAUAAGCACCGGCUAACUUCGUGCCAGCAGCCGCGGUAAUAC
rnacentral:rRNA from 1 species